GCCCGUCUAGCUCAAUCGGUAGAGCGCAAGACUCUUACUAAGCCUUGCUUGAUAAGCAACGGGGGAUCUUGAGGCUGCGGGUUCGACCCCCGCGGUGGGCU